AUGCCACCUUCCGUGCACGACACGGAAGGCCUGCCGUUCAUGAAGCAUGGUUGUGUCUUCAGUGCGCACUGCCGGAUGAACGACAUGCUGGGACACGCUAUCCCUGAUUUAUGCCGCUUCAGCUUGGAUGAGUCUCCAUCGUGUGGAACCGUACUAGAAAUCUGCGACAAUGAUUCCCGUUGCCCACCGCUAUGGAUCGUGCCAUCCAUGAAGAACACCUGGGACUGGAACCUGGAGGAGGACAUCAGACGCAAAUGCGCCGGCCUUCAUGAUUCCAGGACCUGGAAUCAUACCAACCGAUGGUACCAUAUAACUGGAAUUAACCCAUGCAAGUCGAAGAAGGAUUGGCCGGUGCUACCGGCUGGCGUCAAGUUCGAUCCCACGGAUCAGGAGCUGAUCGAGCACCUUGAGGCCAAAGUGAGUGCUGACAGCGCGAGAUCUAACCCUCUCAUCGAUUUGUUCAUACCAUCCAUCGACAACGAGCACGACAUAUGCUACACCCAUCCUGAGAAACUUCCAGCUAAGACACCGAUCGGCCGUCUACUUGCACAAACAUAUUCCUUUGUUUACAACUCUAUUUUUCUUUUUAGAUGCAGACCUGGUAUCACACUGAGUGGCCUAAGCAAGCAUUUAUUCCAGCACAAUUCCAGGGCAUUCAAAAGGGGCACGUGGACGCGUUGCAAGAUACAGUCGGAGUGCGGCAUGCACGCGAUGUGGCACAACACCGGCAAUACCUUGCCGGUGAUGGUCAACGGCCGGCAGAUGGGCAGCAAAAAGGUUCUGGUGCUGCACACCAACAAGAACUUCGACCAGCAGAGGACCAACUGGGUGAUGCACCAGUACCACCUCGGGGACCUGGAGCAAGAGAACGAGCGGGAGCUGGUCCUUUGCAAGAUUUUCUACCAGACGAACACUAGGGCCAGGAGUAAAAAGAUUAUAAGUCGAGCCCAGCCCAUGAUGACAAUGGGGCACAAAGAUCCAGCAGGUAUCUACUGGCCUCUGGCCCUCCAGCGUUAG
rnacentral:rRNA from 1 species